UACGUAGGGUGCGAGCGUUAAUCGGAAUUACUGGGCGUAAAGCGUGCGCAGGCGGCGCGUUAAGACAGGUGUGAAAGCCCCGAGCUUAACUUGGGAAUUGCGCUUGUGACUGGCGUGCUGGAGUGUGGCAGAGGGAGGUGGAAUUCCACGUGUAGCAGUGAAAUGCGCAGAUAUCAGGAGGAACACCAAUAGCGAAGGCAGCUCGCUGGGACGGUACUGACGCUGAGACGCGAAAGCGUGGGGAGCAAACAGG
rnacentral:rRNA from 1 species